GAAUCUGUGGUGCAAUGGUAGCACGUCUGACUUCGAUGCAGAAAAUGCGUGUUCGAUUCACGCCAGGUUCA